CAUGGCGACGAUAGCAAGGGUGUCCCACCUCUUCCCAUUCCGAACAGAGCAGUUAAGCCCCUUUACGCCGAUGGUACUCGGAGGGUGACCUCCCGGGAGAGUAGGUAGUCGCCAGGA
rnacentral:rRNA from 1 species